AAAUGCCCUGCUUCCAGGAAAAGCCUCUAAGCAUCAGGUAACAUCAAAUCGUACCCCAAACCGACACAGGUGGUCAGGUAGAGAAUACCAAGGCGCUUGAGAGAACUCGGGUGAAGGAACUAGGCAAAAUGGUGCCGUAACUUCGGGAGAAGGCACGCUGAUAUGUAGGUGAAGCGACUUGCUCGUGGAGCUGAAAUCAGUCGAAGAUACCAGCUGGCUGCAACUGUUUAUUAAAAACACAGCACUGUGCAAACACGAAAGUGGACGUAUACGGUGUGACGCCUGCCCGGUGCCGGAAGGUUAAUUGA
rnacentral:rRNA from 1 species